CUAUGAGGUUUGAAGUGAGAGACAUAACAAGAAUGACAAAUAAACUUGACCUUAGAAAGGGAUCACCAUCAUAGCCAACAUAGUUUGAGAUUACAAUGCUAAUCAUUUAUUUUUCUUCUGGAUCUGAAUCAUUGCAGUGUAUAACAAACUCCAAGGAAAUGCUUGUCCAACACCCCUCAGGGCCACUAAACUGAGACAUGUCAUGCUCAAAAAGAAUGGUCAAAUACGAAUACCUGCAAUGAGUGAAACUGAUCCUAUCACUUACCAACAAUAGAAUCCAAUACCUCAUGCAGUUAUAUGGCCAUGAAUUGGAGAUGUUAACGGUUACCUUAUCAACAACUUCAAAUGACUAAAAGAACCUGUAAGAAUUAAUGAACUCAUCAGAUUCCGGCACCAGUUGAGUUAAGUCCCAUUUUCUGAUCAACUUCAAUGGUAAGCAUUUCAAAUGUCUUGGAAGUUGCAAACAAAAAGUAACAAUCCAUUUUCUGAUCAACUUCAAUGGUAAGCAUUACAAAUGUAUUGGGAGUUGCCAACAAAAAGUAACAAUCUUUACAAAACCCGACAUCGA
rnacentral:lncRNA from 1 species